rnacentral:tRNA from 1 species
AAUUAAUGAACUUGUUACAAGUGUAUAUUUUGAAAAUAUAAAAAAGGGUUAUACUCCCUAUUAAUUU